GACGAACGCUGGCGGCGUGCUUAACACAUGCAAGUCGAACGGAAAGGCCCUGCUUUUGUGGGGUGCUCGAGUGGCGAACGGGUGAGUAACACGUGAGUAACCUGCCCUUGACUUUGGGAUAACUUCAGGAAACUGGGGCUAAUACCGGAUAGGAGCUCCUGCUGCAUGGUGGGGGUUGGAAAGUUUCGGCGGUUGGGGAUGGACUCGCGGCUUAUCAGCUUGUUGGUGGGGUAGUGGCUUACCAAGGCUUUGACGGGUAGCCGGCCUGAGAGGGUGACCGGCCACAUUGGGAAUGAGAUAAGGCCCAGACUCCUACGGGAGGCAGCAGUGGGGAAUAAUGCACAAUGGGCGGAAGCCUGAUGCAGCAACGCCGCGUGCGGGAUGACGGCCUUCGGGUUGUAAACCGCUUUCGCCUGUGACGAAGCGUGAGUGACGGUAAUGGGUAAAGAAGCAACGGCUAACUACGUG
rnacentral:rRNA from 1 species